GUGAACAUAGUUUAAGGAAAACGCUAGAUUGUGAUUCUAGAAAUAGAGGUUAGACCCCUCUUGUCUACC
rnacentral:tRNA from 1 species